rnacentral:rRNA from 1 species
GAAAGCGUAAUAGCUCACUGGUCGAGUCGGCCUGCGCGGAAGAUGUAACGGGGCUAAACCAUGCACCGAAGCUGCGGCAGCGACACUAUGUGUUGUUGGGUAGGGGAGCGUUCUGUAAGCCUGUGAAGGUGGCCUGUGAGGGUUGCUGGAGGUAUCAGAAGUGCGAAUGCUGACAUAAGUAACGAUAAAGCGGGUGAAAAGCCCGCUCGCCGGAAGACCAAGGGUUCCUGUCCAACGUUAAUCGGGGCAGGGUGAGUCGACCCCUAAGGCGAGGCCGAAAGGCGUAGUCGAUGGGAAACAGGUUAAUAUUCCUGUACUUGGUGUUACUGCGAAGGGGGGACGGAGAAGGCUAUGUUGGCCGGGCGACGGUUGUCCCGGUUUAAGCGUGUAGGCUGGUUUUCCAGGCAAAUCCGGAAAACCAAGGCUGAGGCGUGAUGACGAGGCACUACGGUGCUGAAGCGACAAAUGCCCUGCUUCCAGGAAAAGCCUCUAAGCAUCAGGUAACAUCAAAUCGUACCCCAAACCGACACAGGUGGUCAGGUAGAGAAUACCAAGGCGCUUGAGAGAACUCGGGUGAAGGAACUAGGCAAAAUGGUGCCGUAACUUCGGGAGAAGGCACGCUGAUAUGUAGGUGAAGCGACUUGCUCGUGGAGCUGAAAUCAGUCGAAGAUACCAGCUGGCUGCAACUGUUUAUUAAAAACACAGCACUGUGCAAACACGAAAGUGGACGUAUACGGUGUGACGCCUGCCCGGUGCCGGAAGGUUAAUUGAUGGGGUUAGCGGCAACGCGAAGCUCUUGAUCGAAGCCCCGGUAAACGGCGGCCGUAACUAUAACGGUCCUAAGGUAGCGAAAUUCCUUGUCGGGUAAGUUCCGACCUGCACGAAUGGCGUAAUGAUGGCCAGGCUGUCUCCACCCGAGACUCAGUGAAAUUGAACUCGCUGUGAAGAUGCAGUGUACCCGCGGCAAGACGGAAAGACCCCGUGAACCUUUACUAUAGCUUGACACUGAACAUUGAGCCUUGAUGUGUAGGAUAGGUGGGAGGCUUUGAAGUGUGGACGCCAGUCUGCAUGGAGCCGACCUUGAAAUACCACCCUUUAAUGUUUGAUGUUCUAACGUUGGCCCGUAAUCCGGGUUGCGGACAGUGUCUGGUGGGUAGUUUGACUGGGGCGGUCUCCUCCUAAAGAGUAACGGAGGAGCACGAAGGUUGGCUAAUCCUGGUCGGACAUCAGGAGGUUAGUGCAAUGGCAUAAGCCAGCUUGACUGCGAGCGUGACGGCGCGAGCAGGUGCGAAAGCAGGUCAUAGUGAUCCGGUGGUUCUGCAUGGAAGGGCCAUCGCUCAACGGAUAAAAGGUACUCCGGGGAUAACAGGCUGAUACCGCCCAAGAGUUCAUAUCGACGGCGGUGUUUGGCAC